rnacentral:lncRNA from 1 species
CAGUGGCACCCCAGCCUCACUGGUAGACCCCCGACGGCAAGGGCCCCCAGUUUAAGGUUCCUUAGCAAUGCUUCUCAGUGCCACAAGGUGGCGAUGUCCCCAGGCCCAUCCCAUGUAAGGUGAGGAUUUCCACUCACUGCAGGGGGUCCUGCCAGUCCCUUUCCACUGCCUCUACCACAGCCUCCUGACAGGUGCCAUCGUAGGGAUACUGUGCACCCGGUUUUAGAAACAAGGUUUUGUUGGAAACAACCACAGCCAGCACUUCAUACAUUGCCUGUGGCUGCUUCGCACUAGGCCAGAGCAGUGAGCUGAGGACUUGCAGCACAAACCAUAUACACGGUGGCAAACCCUAACAUAUUUGCUAUCCAGCCCCUUAAAGUUUGCCAAGCCCUACCUGAAUACAGCAGCCAGGGAUAAAGAAUGGCCAAGCACUGGGGACACACCAGGGAUUCACUAGGCCAUACCAGCAAAACCACAAGAGAAGCUUUGUGAGCCAAAAUAGAAGCCCAGAGGGUAACUUACCUAAGAUGGCGCUGCUGGUGGGCAACAGACCCCAGCUUUGAACCAAAGCUUGAGACCUGCCCUGCUCCUGAGCAGUCUACGUUUGUCCAGCUGCGUGGACAGCCUGUUUUCAAGACACGAGUCCUGCUUUAGGUGACUGUAAAUGCCAGGGGCUGUAGUCCCCAAGACCAUCGACUGUAGAACAGGGCUGGGAAUGGGGGGGUCCCAUCUGCUCGGGUGCUUUGUGACAGCUCAGGGCCCCACCUGACACCUGAGACACCCCACCCUCUCUUGCCGCAACAAACUGAUUACACAGAACUGAGCUGGCUUUUGCGUUGGCAUCCUGGCCCACACGCCCUUCACGGGAAGGAGAGACCAUCCCAGCGGGUUUGAACACCAGGGAGCAGCGGAUCAUUGCUUUCUUGAUGAAAAUGGAAACGCUCACCCCGUGCGUCCUCCUCCGACACCUCAGCCCAGACUGCGGUCUCCCUGGGGCCUGGACACGGCGGGUCCAGGGGUGGAGAAGGUGCUCACUCUGCUGAGAACGACCCUUCCCUGGCUGCUCUGGCCUCCGGGCCAUCUGCAGGACAGGCUGGGGUCAGGCGCGCAGCUGUGCCCCACAGACCC